UACAGAGGUCCCAAGCGUUGUUCGGAUUCACUGGGCGUAAAGGGUGCGUAGGUGGUGAGGUAAGUCGGAUGUGAAAGCUCCGAGCUCAACUCGGAAAUGGCAUUGGAAACUACCUUGCUAGAGGGUUUGAGGGGGGACUGGAAUACUUGGUGUAGCAGUGAAAUGCGUAGAUAUCGAGAGGAACACCAGUGGCGAAGGCGAGUCCCUGGACAACACCUGACACUGAGGCACGAAAGCCGGGGGAGCAAACAGG
rnacentral:rRNA from 1 species